rnacentral:rRNA from 1 species
GACGAACGCUGGCGGCGUGCCUAAUACAUGCAAGUCGAGCGCUGAAGGGUGGUACUUGUACCAACUGGAUGAGCAGCGAACGGGUGAGUAACGCGUGGGGAAUCUGCCUUUGAGCGGGGGACAACAUUUGGAAACGAAUGCUAAUACCGCAUAAAAACUUUAAACACAAGUUUUAAGUUUGAAAGAUGCAAUUGCAUCACUCAAAGAUGAUCCCGCGCUUUAUUAGCUAGUUGGUUAGGUAAAGGCUCACCAAGGCGAAGAUACAUAGCCGCCCUGCGAGGGUGAUCGCCCAAACUGGAACUGAGACCCGGUACAGACUCCGACGGGAGGCAGCAGUAGGGAAUGUGCCGAAAUGGGCGAAAGAUUAACGGAGCAGUGCCGAGUGAGUGAUAAAGGUGUUCGGAUCGUAAAACUCUGUUAUUAGGGAAGAACAAAUGUGUAAGUAACUAUGCACGUCUUGACGGUACCUAAUCAGAAAGCCACGGCUAACUACGUG